UACAGAGGGUGCGAGCGUUGUCCGGAAUCACUGGGCGUAAAGGGCGCGUAGGUGGCGGGCCAAGUCCAUGGUGAAAGCUCGAUGCUCAACAUCGAGUCGGCCACGGAUACUGGUGCGCUGGAGCACUGUAGAGGCUAAUGGAAUUCCGGGUGUAGCGGUGGAAUGCGUAGAGAUCCGGAAGAACACCGGUGGCGAAGGCGGUUAGCUGGGCAGUUGCUGACACUGAGGCGCGACAGCGUGGGGAGCAAACAGG
rnacentral:rRNA from 1 species